CAUAGCGAGCUGGAUGUGGCCCCUGCAGUGCCUGCCGCCCUGGUGUGGAGGUGGAUGGAGACAGACAGCAGGGUUGCGGUAGUUCGCUGAGUGGCAGCCUAUCUGAGAUGCAAAUUAUGGGCUCAAGAAGAUACCCUGCCUCAGAGGAAAAGGUGGAAAGUGAUGCAGGAGGAUACCGUUUUGGAACAAAGAAAUGUUGGCAAUAGCAUUGCUUGCAUGCUGAGGUCACCACGCUGCUGUUUCUUCUUAGCUCGGAUCUGGAUGUUGGUCGGUUUUAACUGAGGUGCUGGUGGAGCAGCUCCGAAGCUGUGACAUGUGGAGGGAUGAGAAGUUAAAGAACACAUUUGGAACGCACCCCAGACAUCUUUAUCCUUAUUGAGUCCUGAUGAAGUCUGGCUAUUAUAAAUCCUGAUUGAGAGCCAUGAUGUUUUCCAAGCACAGGGACCACUUUGUGAAAAGCAAAAGCAGCCUGUCACCAUGUGCAGGAGGAGGAGGUGUCAAUGGAGAGGAGCCACCGGCAUUUUCAGAAAGCUACAUGAUGUAACAGCCCUCUACACCGCCUCAUUUGUGCUGGAAAGUUUUAAAUAGAGAAAAAUAAUCCCGUGCCAUUAGCAUAGCAACAAGUCUUAAAUGAAUGCAGAAUGAUUUUUUUUGAAUUAAUGAGCAAGAAAUAAAAAUAGAAAUGACCAGAAAGGGAGGGUGACACAGAGAGAUGCUAAAGGACGAGGAGAAGAAGGUGUUGGUGACCCGUUGAGGCUUUCAUGAACAGGAAAGCAGAUACUCUUGAGGUCAGCCCCCAGCACUGGCUUAUAGCAAUGAGAGUUCCAUGGAGGCAAGCGGGGGAGGCAGCAUUUGGCCCAAUAAUUUCACUGCAGCUGCUACAUCAGAUAUGCCAACGUGAAGCUGAGCCACUAAUUGGAAGCAGAAUAAACCUAAGAAAUCUUGGUUCAAAUGGCAGCUAUAUUUUCCAAAGAGAAGAUUUCAGUUGAAAUGCCAAAGGAGACAGUUAGCCAAAACAUUUGUCUCUGGAAAUUUCACGUCUCAAUUUUUCUCAGAUCUACAGCUGGGUGCUAAGCCAGGCAUGUCUUGAGAACACAUGCCAUGGAUAAACCAAGAUGCUUGUUUUCAUCAAUAGCAGCUCUAUUGAACUCACAACAAAUAGUUCAAUUACCAUGAUCACUAAUAGGCUGAUUAACUUGGGUGACAAGAAAUGAAAGAUGAUGUGGGAAAACCAAGCUCCUAGGAAGUGGUGUGAAAUCAGGAGCAAGGCUAGGCACUGCCAUGAGUUCUCAGUUCAGAAGCUUUCACAGUGAGAAAGUAAGAUACAAACAAACAAACAAAACAAACGUGUCUGGAACUCAGGAGACGGCCCAGUGGAUAAAUCACUUGCCUAAUAUCUGUGAGGACCAGAAUUUGAAUGUCCAGAACCCACAUAAAUUUCUGAUGGGCAUGGAAGCUUCCUUAUAAAGCCAGUGGGUAGAAGGAGGAGAUGGGAAAUCCCCUGGGCAAACUGCCCAGCUUGUAUAGACUGAGAGUUGUAGUGUCUAUUGAGAGACUCCACAUUCAUAUACAAACGGAGAGAGCAAUGGGGGAAGACAACUUCAACCCCAUGCCUUUACGAUGUUCAUAUGCCCCCACACACAGACACACACACACUCAAGCCCAUCUCAUAUCACACACAUGUGUACAUACUCUGUAAAACUAUUAUCUUCUUAAUACUUUGUGUGGGAUAUAUUUCUGAGAUUCACAUACAGGUUUCACUGGCCAAGUUCAACAUUCUUCUUAGAAUUCUGUGUCAGAAAACCACUUGGCUCUCCUAGUGAACUGCUAUAAUUAGUUACACCUGUCAACAGAAGCCAUAUCUCUCAUUUUAUUGUCCCUUUGCCCUGGAUUUCUGAAAACUUAAUCCUGAAUACACUACUUGCUUUCAUUAUUGUCUUUGGCUUCCAUUUUUCCCAGUCCCCACCUGGUUGGGAACAGGCUCCAAAGACAUUAGAAGCCAGUGGGAAGUUGAAUUUUCUCCUUUCUUUCUAAACCUGAAUCUACUUGUCUAUGAGAUGGGGUAAUAACUCUUAUUUCCUAAGAGUUUGUUUGCAGUGCUGGCCACAGUAAAUGCUCAAAACUUCCAAAUAUUAAAUAUGAAAGUAUUUGGCUUGAAACAUUACAACCCAUUUUAAAUAAUUUCUGAGUAUGACAAUGAGGUAAUCAAUAUAAUUUGUAGGUAGCUAUUGCAAGAGCUGAAUAAGAAUCACAUAUUUACUUUGUCUUUUGUUUAUAGUUCCCUCUAAGAGUAAAAUAUGCAUCAAUAAAAUCUUCAAAUCUCAAAUAUACAAGUCAGUGAAUUUUAAAUAAUGUGAAUAAUUUUGAAUGUGACCCUGGCUCCUUCUAAAAUAUACAUUAUUUCCAUUACCCAAGUCAUUUUCCUUGGGAUCUUCCAGCUCAACCCUUACCUUGCUGGAGAUGGACAUUUUGUUUUUUUUUUUAAAUAUUUAUUUAUUUAUUUAUUUAUUAUGCAUACAAUAUUCUGUCUGUGUAUAUGUCUGCAGGCCAGAAGAGGGCAUCAGACCUCAUUACAGAUGGUUGUGAGCCACCAUGUGGUUGCCGGGAAUUGAACUCAGGACCUUUGAGGAGCAGGCAAUGCUCUUAACCACUGAAUCAUUUCACUGCAGGUUCCUUUUGACUGUUGUGAAAUUUCUCAAAAAUGUUACAUGUUCUUUUUUGUCUGGAUCCUUUUGUUCCCAACUUUCUGACAGUCACUCAUGUUUGUGAGAGUAUAGGUGACUUGGCUCUUCUGAUUCUAAGGUCAUAUGAACAUCUCACAUCUGUCCUAUGAGCAUAUCACAUGUUUUAUUCUCUCUCUCCUCAAGUGUAGCAGUAUUUUCUCAUCAGGACCACCAGCUCACAAAGAAUGACAUGGAGACUUACUAUUAAUUACGAAUGCUCAGCCUUAGCUUAGGCUUGUUCCUCGCUAGUUCUUAUAAGUUAAAUUAGUCCAUAUUUUUAAAUUUACAUUUUGGCAUAUGGUUUCUUACCUAUCUCGGUAGUGCCCAUCCUGCUUCCUCUGUGCCUGGCUGAUGACUCCUCUCUUCUUCCAAGAACUCUCUUUCUGCCUGAAAGUCCCAGCAAAACAUCUUUGCACAGUGUACAAAUAUCCCACAACACUCAAGCACAUUUGAGUGUCUUCAUCCAUUGGCUCUGUAAAAAUGCUCUGAACAUGCUUGUAUGAAGCUUGCAUCAUUAGUCAAGUUUGUGUUACUCCAAGAAAAAUAAAUAAGAAUUAAGAUGUAAAGUAAGUAUGUGAUUUUGUAUUUCUACCAACAAUGUGUUUCUUACUCAAAUUGUAUGUCACUAGACAUUUCUUAAAUAAAACAGAAACCAUGCUUGCGUUAUUAAAAGAAAGGUAACUGGUUGUAUGUAUUUCAGAUAAAUUUCUAAUUUGGGAAUAGUUUU